rnacentral:tRNA from 1 species
GCGCCAUUAGCUCAGUUGGUUAGAGCAGCUGACUCUUAAUCAGCGGGUCCGGGGUUCGAGUCCCUGAUGGCGCACC